rnacentral:lncRNA from 1 species
GUGCUUUGCAGAAAAACCUACAAGCCAACACUAACAAACAAAACGAACAAAAAAUUCAUGCCCUAGAUUGCACUAGGAAAUUUUUGUGAAUUAUUGAAAACACAUUAAACUAUGAUUACUAUUACAAGAUAAAGAAUUGAAAAAGAUUUUUUUAAUAAUAGUGAAUGUUAUACCCUGUGUUAACAGGAAGGAAGCAACCAGGGGAUGUAGUUCCUUGCGUUGGAAAUAAAAUGAGGCUCGUGGCACUCUGAAAUACUACUAGGAGAUGUCGUACCCUAUGUAGAAAAUAACGCAACCAGGGGAUGUAGUACUAUGUGUUGGUAAUAAAAUGAGGCUCGUGGCACUUUGAAAUGUUACUAGGGGAUGCAGUACCCUAUGUAAAAAAUGAUGCAGCCAGGGGAUGUAGUACCCUGUGUUGGCAUUGAAAUAAGGCUCGUGGCACUUUGAAAUGCUACUAGGGGAUGUCGUACCCUAUGUAGAAAAUAAUGCAGCCAGGGGAUAUAGUACCCUGUGUUGGCAAUAAAAUGAGGCUCGUGGCACUUUGAAAUGCUGCUAUGGGAUGUCGUACCCUAUGUAGAAAAUAAUGCAGUCAGGGGAUAUAGUAUCCACCCUGUUGGCAAUUAAAUGGUGCUCGUGGCACUCUAAAAUGCUACUAAGGAAUGUCGUACCCUAUGUAGAAAAUAAUGCAGCCAGGGUAUGUAGUACCCUGUGCUGGCAAUAAAAUGAGGCUCGUGGCACUAUGAGAUGCUACUAGGGGAUGUCGUACCCUAUGUAGAAACUAUGGCAGCCAGAGGAUGUAGUACCCUGUGUUGGCAAUAAAAUGAGGCUCGUGGCACUAUGAGAUGCUACUAGGGGAUGCCGUACCAGAGGUAGAAAAUAAUACAGUCAGGGGAUGUAAUACCCCGUGUUGGCAAUAAAAUGAGGCUCGUGGCCCUCUAAAACGCUACUAGGGGAUGUCGUACCUUAUGUAGAAAAUAAUGCAACCAAGGGAUGUAGUACCCUGUGUUGAAGAUAGGGUGUUGAUCCCUUAUAAUGAAACUAAAAUAACAUGCUUACAUGCAUAUUGGAAGGAAAUCAUGGAUCUGAGAACUAAACUUGGUGGUCUUCCUCUUUCCACGAACUGUUUCACUAAACGAAUUUGUUCCUGUUCUAAACCAAGAAAGAUUCAUUAGUUUUUAAAAAUGGUGGUCAGUUUUUGGCCUUGACAUCUUGGGCGACUUGACCUUGCAAUUACGAACUGUUUCACUAAACGAAUUUGUUCAUGUUCUAAACAAAAAAAGAUUCGUUAGUUUUAAAAAAUGGUGGUCAGUUUGUGUCCUUGACUUCUUGGGCAACUUUACCUUGCGUCCAUUGCACUUGUUAGGACCCUAUCGAUGAUUGUAAAAAUUGCCGGGAGAUUCUGACUUUAUUUUCUGAAGAUCUUUUUUUUCAACAUCAACACCUGACUAUGAUUCUGACUUUAUUUUCUCAAGAUUUUUUUGUUUCAACAUCAACACCUGACUAUUUUGCUCCUAUCACCAUUUGUGUCUAUGGUGCAAACAACUUUGUUCCCAAAACAACUUUUGAUGAGUAACUUUUGUUGCUCUUGAAACAUUGCUAAGUCCUUCAAACCUUUUGCUUGACAAGGAAUAUCAAAGUCGGAUUUAUGGCUUUGCCCAUACUGUUUAUGCCCAGAAAUUUUUGCUUCAUAUAGCGAGGAAACUGUAACCAAUUUUGUGGUUUUUUCUUUGCUUUGCUUUGAAAAAAUUAAACUGAAAGGUAUUCAAAAAUAAUAGUACGAAAGAAAACAAGUAGGUGAACUAAUAAUUGCAACUUAAUCAAUAAGUGUCCCUUUCAGGGGAAGAAUAAGAAAAGACUUAUCUGGAGGAACAUGCUAACUUAAAUAAACAUGACAUGCAAUUUGGACUGGAUGCUCGAUCCGUCUAAACCGUCUAAUUCUCAGAAUCUGUUGUAAACUUCUCUUUGAAACUGAGUUCUUUAACCAUGCUUGUGCCGGGAUAUAAGAAGAUCUAAAAUCAAUCAACGAUGCCCUUNNNNNNNNNNNNNNNNNNNNNNNNNNNNNNNNNNNNNNNNNNNNNNNNNNNNNNNNNNNNNNNNNNNNNNNNNNNNNNNNNNUGGGUUUUCACCAAUUGACCUCUCUCAUUUGCCUUUUUCUCAACUCACCAUCGCCUCAUAGUGCCCGUGAGGGUUUUCACCAAUAAGGCUCUCUCGUUUGUUUUUAUCAACUCGCCAUCGCCUUAUAGUGCCCUUGAGGGUUUUCACCGAUAAGACUCUCUCAUUUGUUUUUCUCUCUUUGCAAUGGUUGAAGCGCCACCUGUAGUGUACGGACUUUGCAUUCUCAAAACCUGAUUAGAAGGUCUUAAAAGGGAAAGGCAAAAUGAACUACUCAACUGAAUUACAACUUUUAGAACCAUUUGAUGGUACAUCCAUCGAAAAUAAAAUGAAAACAUGCCCUAAUUUCUUUGAAUAUUGGGAAAAUGUGGAUUUUUUGUUUGGUGUGACUGAACCUCAGAGAGAGGCUGCUUAGGUAUCCUUUCUGAAUCAAGUCGAACGUAGUUCAGGAUGGCAUGAACUUGUUUUGAUGAUGACUUUUUUUAAUCUUUUUUUUUAAAGUACAUUAGUUCCAAAAGAGGGUAAACACAAAGAAAUAUAAACAACGCUUCAAAGGGCUAACUAGGGUUGACCAGUGUUUGGGUAGCGAGAAUGAUACACUUUCGUCAUCCCAACCUGAGAGUGCUAAGUAUAAACCAAAUGCCCCAAUAGAAGCAUGUUAGACAUAGUAUCUCUUGACUACAUCUGCAUUGACGGAUAUGUCUGUCACAUUUCCUUCUAUAUCUUCCAAGUGUAUAGCUUCUUUCAACAAUACUUUGUUGACGAGGUAAGGACCUUGCCGAUUCGGGGCGAACUUUCCUUUUGCUUCUUCCAGGUGGGAAAAAAUGCGUUUCAAAACACGUUGUCCUACCUCAAAUUUUCUUGGGUGCACUUUUUUAUUGUAAGCGCGUGCCAUUCUUUAUUGGUAUAACUGACCAAAACAAACCAUCGCCAAAUGCUUUUCAUUAAUCAAACUCAACUGUUCCAAUCGUGACUUCACCCAUUCAGUGUCUUCAAUCCCAACUUCAAAAAUUAUCCAGAGAUAGGGAAUCUCAACUCUAGCAGGUAUGACCGCUUUAGUUCCAUAAACUACCAAGUAUGGUGUUGCACCAACUGAUGUACGGACAGUUGUCCGGUAUCCCAACAAAGCAAAAGGUAAUUUAUCGUGCCAUUGUCUAGACCCUUGGACCAUCUUCCUAAGAAAUACAUCUCUAUAAACGAACAAAACUUGAAUUAUGGUAUCCCUCGUCCUUUGUUCAGUAUGGAAUCUUAUUUUUGUUUCUCUGAUUUCUUCAUGACUUCCCAAGCUAAUUGCCUCAGUUUCAUUUAUGUUAGGCUUAGGCUUAUUCUCAAAUUGAUCCAAUUCUCUUUUUAUUUCCUUAAAGGCUUCAUCUUCAUCAUACUCAACUUCUUGAUUCAUUUUCGAGAUUAGACAGCUUUUUAAGAUCAGGGCAUGAAUUCCUCGUGCAUGUCAUGUUUUUUUUAAAGCCAGCAUUAACGAAACUGAAAAUGAUGAGAAAUUAACAAAAACUAGGGAAAGGAAAGACAAAAUUCUACUAUGAAACUGGAACUUCAUUUCAUUGAAUUUGAAAGGAUAUAAGGGUCAACGUCAAAGCAAAGCAAUUAAACUAAAGUAUAUGGAUUACAACCCUGUAAAUAAUCCAAAUAUAGAAAAAGCAACAAUACAGACUACCAAGACUCCUUCCUGAUGGGAAGAGGAGUUGCUUCCCAGUUGUUGAGCGAGGUAUCUGCGCCAAUCAGCUAAACACUUGCACGUCUAGGGCCCUCACCAACUUGAACCAUAUUGAUUCCAUAUAACAUCUCCUUGAGACCCUGGCAAGCUUCAUCAAUGUCAUCUUGAGUAGAAAGAUUUUGGACUNNNNNNNNNNNNNNNNNNNNNNNNNNNNNNNNNNNNNNNNNNNNNNNNNNNNNNNNNNNNNNNNNNNNNNNNNNNNNNNNNNNNNNNNNNNNNNNNGUGGCUUGACAAAAGAGUAGGCAAUGUGAGGGAUUGGUUUUGACAAGUUCCAACCAUUCUUUUUGCGAGCCUUGGCUCUGUUUAUGUCAUCUGAUGUUGGUUUAAAACCCAAGUCAAAGGUAUCUUUCUUCGAAAAAGGAGCAAUCGGGUUCACAGUUCCUUGCAGAAAUGAUCCUAAUCAUUUUCCUGGUUCAUAUCUGUUCCUCAACAUUAGUGAAACUACCAUCAUAGAUAUGGCUGAAAGAUGGGGAUGCAUAAUGGUUUUCCUUCUUCCACUUGGUCUACCCCAAUCACCUCAAAUGUUUGAUAUAUGAGGGAUUCACAUCCUUCCUUGGCCUCGAUACAUGGAAUGGAUGGGUCAUUAUAGGCGGACGAGUCAUCCUCCCCAUGAACAACAAUUUCUUGCCUGUCAUAUUCGAAUUUGACCAUAUGAUGUAGGGUGGAUGGUAUAGCUCUAGCCAUAUGGAUCCACGGCCUUCCCAAAAGAAAAUAAUAGGAGGUUUUCAUAUCCAACACCUGAAAGACAAUGUUAAAAUUAACCGGGCCAAUUGUCAUGGUGAGUUUAAUUUCCCCAAUAAUGUCUCUUUGUGAACCAUCCAAAGCCCUUAUGCUGACACUACUAGUUCGAAUUCUAUUAGUGUCAAUGUUCAGUUGUUGUAGAAUAGAAAGAGGGCAUACAUCUACACUUGAGCCUCCAUCAAUCAUGACCCUUUUUACGUAAUGCCCUUCACAUUUGACCAUAAGAUGCAAAGCUUUAUUGUGACCAGCCCCUUCCUUAGGCAAAUCAUCAUCGCUAAAAGAAAAUUUUGUUCACCUCAAAGAAUCUUUCAGCCAUCUUUUCUAGCUGAUUCACCGUUGUCUUUUAUGAGACAUAUGCCUCGUUAAAACUUUUGAUCAACACACGGCGAUGUUCUUUCGAGUGUAAAAGCAAAGAUAACAAAGAUAUAUGAGUAGGGGUUUUCCUUAGUUGAUCAAUGAUUGAGUAGUCUUGCAUGUUCAUCUUCUUAAGGAAUUCCUUCGCUUCUUUUUCUGAAACAUUUUCUUUCACAGGAAAGUGAUUUUCCUUGGCUUGCUUAGCUUUUCUCAACUCCUCUGGCGAAUAGCACUUUCCAGAGCGGGUCAAGCCUCCCAUUUCAUCUGUCUCUUCCACUAUCUCUUUUCCUUUGUAUGUCAUGACAAUCUUGUUAUAGUUCCAGCGAAUAGCUUUUGGGUUUGACACUGGAAGUUAUGCCACAGGUCGGAUCACAUCAGGCUCUGUUAUAUUUCUCAAAGCAUUAUUCGAAACAAUCUUUUGAAUACCCCCAAGGAUAUAAAGUUUUGGCCCACCCAAUUGAACCUCAAUCUUUUUUGUGCUUCCAGGGACAUAGAGAACCGUUUUUUCAGAACCCGCCAAGUUUGAACUAGAACUCGCACCUUUCACAAUCAGCGGUUCCAAUUGCUGCAGGCUUACUAUCACUUUUGGCUCCGGCCCUGUAGUUCCAACAAUCAUCUCUGUCUUGCCCCAUUUCUUGUAAUCACGAUCAUCACAAAUCAUCCCAAUAAAAUGUGUAUUAUCAUGAGCUGGGAGUGGAGUGUUUGUGAUAUUAUGAGUAUCUUCAUUGUUUGUCACCACAAUUGCCUUUGCUUCAAUCAAAUUUUCAAUGACUUUCUUUAAUGUCCAACAAUUUUUGGUGCUAUGACCUUGGGUGUUAGAAUGAUACUCACAUCUCGCAUUGGAGUUAAAACCUUUUGAAUUUGGAUUGACAUAACGUGGCAUUAUAGGUUCAAUCAAUUUCAGUUGCAUCAAUUUGAGAAAUAGGCUUAUAUAUGAUUCUACAAUCAGGGUGAACUCUUUCUUUGGCUCUGGUUCUCUCACAUAUUCCUUCUGGGACGAGGAUUAUAUGGUGCCUGGAAAUUUUUCCGGAGUUGAGGGGAGCCUUGUGGAAUCGAUGCUCGCCAUUGUUGGUGAUUUGGAGGCCUAGAAUAAGCCUAAGCAUUAUACAUUGGGCAUUGUUGCGAGGAAAAUGAGUAUCGGGGACCCUGAGGCGGAUGAUAAUGUUGAGGAGAAUUGUAUUGUCGUUGUUGGAAUUGCAUGUAUGAAGGAACUAUUCCUCUUUGAACUCCCCCGAAUCCAGAGGCCAUCAUGGAUCCUUCCUCCUUCUUUUUCCGAUUUCCGAUUUUCCCGACCUUAUGCCAUUCUCAAAUAUUUCCCCAAUCUUGAUCGCCUCGGCAAAAGGCUUACCAAUGGCGGCCAACAUAUAAUAGAGGUAAUCAGGAUCCUGAGCUUGGAGAAAGUAGUCAAUCAUUUUUUCCUCUUUCAUUGGCGGUUUGACCCUAGCAGCCUGCUCUCUCCACUUGAUUGCAUAUUCUCUGAAGCUUUCUGUUGAUUUCUUCUUUAUGUUGACAAGAGAGGAGCGGUCUUGCACUAUAUCAAUAUUGUACUGAAAUUGUUGGACAAAAUCUUGAGCCAUGUCAUUCCAAACGUNNNNNNNNNNNNNNNNNNNNNNNNNNNNNNNNNNNNNNNNNNNNNNNNNNNNNNNNNNNNNNNNNNNNNNNNNNNNNNNNNNNNNNNNNNNNNNNNNNNNNNNNNNNNNNNNNNNNNNNNNNNNNNNNNNNNNNNNNNNNNNNNNNNNNNNNNNNNNNNNNNNNNNNNNNNNNNNNNNNNNNNNNNNNNNNNNNNNNNNNNNNNNNNNNNNNNNNNNNNNNNNNNNNNNNNNNNNNNNNNNNNNNNNNGUGACCAUCAUACUUGUCAAACUUAGGGGUCUUGAAUCCAGGUGGAAAAUGAACAUGGGGAAACAUACAUAAAUCAUUGAACGAAACACUCUUGUCCCAAACCCUGUAUGUUUCUCAUGGUCUGUUCCAAACUCUUCACUUUUCUGGUCAUUUCCUCUUGCUCCAUGUUCUUGUCGGGAUUUUCGACCUCGACUGGGAACAUGUUCUGAGGAGUAUACUUGUAUGAAUAUGGAACCUUGAAAAUCAGUUCUGGAGAGUAAAGUUGGGUAUCAUGAGCAUUCAAUUGUGGAUCAUUGUUGAGCUUUUGAGCGAGAGAUGGUUAAGUAAUGCGUACAGUAUGUAGGUUAUUUCUGAAGGAUGAGACUGGAGGACGUAGGAUGGAGGUACUGGGAUAGUGGGAAGGUUAAUGCUCAGACUGAAUCCAGGUUGGUACAAUGGGUUACUUAUUAUGGAGAUAGGCACUUGAUUUGCAACAGACAUAUUAUGAAGUUUAUCCGAAGGCCCUAGGGGUAGUGAGGGCGGUGCAUGUCCAUUCACCCAGGUUUGCUACAUAUCUGCCAAUUGUUGUUUCAACACUCUUACUUCUUCAACCAUUCCCGAACCUUGUUCGACCAAUUGUCUAUGAACGUCAUCAUUAUCUUACUCAUUCUCACUGUUGUUUCCCAUUUUACUUUUUCCUUUUGACCUCGUGUUGUAAGGGUGAGUCUCCAGUUUAAGCCACAAACCAACCAGCUCCGUUUAACCUUAUCUAUUUAGAAAUAACAAACAACAAACGUGUUAGAGUUGGACAUUUUUCAGAUAUUAAUCACACACUAUAUGCCAUGCAGCUAAUACCAUUUUCAUUUCUAAAAUAAUUUUGGAAGGCUUCAUGCUUCAUCCCGACUUGUUGGUUUAUUUCUUUUUGAACUUACUGCUCUUUUAUUUUAUUUUUUAAUUUAAUUUUUUAUCAUUUUUUUCCAGAUUAGUUAUGGCUGUGAUCGCAUCCGAUGGGGAUUGCAUACGUAUUAUGACGUCGUAUGAAUCAGACCACCGCGUAGUUCAGGAGAAAUAAUAACAAUUCUAAUGAUUUCUUCUCUUUUUUUAAAAUAAAUAAAUAAAUAAGACAAACUAAAAUGUUUUUCAAUUAUAUUUUUUUAGAAUGGGAGAAAAGGAAAUAUAUACAAACGGACUCUACUGACUCUAAAGACAUAAACAUGUUUGGAAUAAAAUAAACUUUGAUAAUAAUAGUAAUAAAAAAAUCUCCAAAAAAAUAAAAAUAAAAACCAAACUGUGGGACUAAAAAAACUAAAUUAGUAAUAGUCGUUAAAAAAAUAAAAUUUCCAAAUAACUUUUUUUGUUUUUGUAAAGAAAACUAAUAAAAAAUAAAACUACCCUCCCAUUUCACAUUUUCUGACAUUGCUCUAAGACUCGGUAUAUUUCUGCAAUGAUCAGGGGUACAAUGCUGAAUGCCUGCCCACCAAUCCCUCCAUUAGGGUUUUGGUUACCAUGGUCAGCCUAGUAUGAAUUCUACUUUUCUUAAUUGAAAAUACAAUCAAACACAGGAAGCAAAAUAUGAAUAUGAAAACCCUACGAUGGACGUGUCCCAAGGAUGUGAUGGAAAACUCACCAGAGUUGGUACGAUAAGAUUUGUUGUGACUAUAUAUUUCAUACAAGUAGUCAAAAGGGAUGUAUGAAUCCUUCAUGCAUGUUAACUCUGGAUUCUUCUUCAAACCUAUCAUUUUAAGGAAGCCCCUACUUUUGCGAUUCUCAGGAAUUAGUAAGCCCGGAGUUUCCCAUACUAGACCAAUCAGUCCUCUUAUUUCCUCCAACAAAGGUGUCAUUUCAAUGCCCCCAAAGUGGAAUACAGCCCUUUCACAACCCCAAAACAAUAUGGCCACUUCUAUGAUCAUUUUUUUAGGUUGAGCCUCCAAAAGGGAUGGUAGAUUUCCCAGAUAUUUUCUGACGAUAUUUUGAUCACUAGAGUGUAAAUCUUUCAUCCAGCUUAGCAAUCUUGGGUGGAUAUUGGCGACUAUGAUGAAUCUGGGGACUUCGUGCCUCAUAUUUUUGCAAGGCAAAUAAGGUUAGACCCUUCCCCCACUGGACUCGACUAUUUAAUAUCAAUGAUUAGCAUGAAACAUCUAGUUCUCCAAAUAAAUGCACAUAACGUGACGAUGUCCGUUAGGUUUUACGGAAACCCAGUGGACUUUGAAUAAGGCUAUCUUAAAAGAUCAUUAUGUGGACAACAUAACUGAUCCGGAUAGGUUUGACCAUGAUGCAUGCACAAUUUGAACAAAGUAAGGUUUUCAUGGAGUUUAGAACGGUAUCCUUGAGCGGAUAACUCAAAGGGGAAGGCACAAAACUGUCGACUGCACCGCUGAUCGACUAGUUUUACCGUAAAUAUGCCUUUUCGAAUUUAGGGGGUAAUGAUAUUUAAAGAGCGCAACACUCAUUAUAAGAGUUGCUAUAGUAUUUAUUUCGGCACGAGUGGAGUACAAUGUUGAGCAUGAUCAUGCAAUAAUUAAAAACAAGUUGACAUGUAUUUGCACAUUAAGAAAGCGAUAAAUACAACAAUUUCAUAAUUUAAAGCAAUAGAGGAAAGAAAACAAGGAAGAAACGUAAGUUUUGCUUCUAAAGAAGAAAUUAAAUGCAUAAAGGAAUUAAACAAAUAAUUGCACAUAGGGGAGGGUUACCAGUUCACAAGAACAAUCUAAAAUGGUAAAAGGCAAAUAUAAAUCCCCAGCGGAGUCGCCAGGCUGUCGCACGCCUUUUUCCUCCGCGAAAAUUGGGUUUAUGAUAUUUGGUUGGGACAAGUCUUUCCUUUUGGGAAAGGGGUUUUGCAAUUUUUGAAGAGUCACUACCUAAUGAUUUUUAAGGUGCAUUAGGGCACCUAUGGGGUUCAACUACAACUAUGCUUGACAACCAGAGAUAGGGUAAAGGUUUGAGAUUAUCCCAGGGGGAAGGUGUUAGGAACCUCCCAGGAUCCACUAGUGUAGUUCCCUGCCAGAUAAUUUUUGUGAAUUUGUGCAAUUAACAAUUAAGCAAAUAAGGCUCAAGAAAUAGGGAAUUUUGAAUUUAAAGACAAGAGUGUUUGUUUAAAAGAAAGUAGAAAAUCAAGGCUUUGAAAAGAGUUACAAUCUAAGCAUGCUGAUGAAUGUGAAGAGGUCCAAAGUUUAUUUCUAAUGUAAAUCACAUCAAUGCAAUACCCGGUAAUCACUCCUCAAAAUAGGGGCUACAUGUGGUAUUACCACACCGGUCAUCAUAUCCACAGCUACCCUUCCCAUCCCGUGAAGGUACAGCACGGAUUGGUCUCGACCUUUAUGAUGUGCUAUUAUCUUCCCAUUCCUAUCAAUCUUGGAAGAAUUUAGGACUACUACUCCUAUAGAUGGGAGGAUUUUAGGCCGAAUCUUAGGUUUAAAGGUAAAAAGGCUAAGGCGACAUACAAAAACAUGUAGGACUACAUUUAAGGGGAAACAUAUAAGCAAUUACAAGUCUCGUAUAGACUUUCGCAACUAAUGCAUAUAAAUAGCACGAAUUAAACACAAGGUCCAAAUUUUAAAUCUUAAGACAUGGUGUUUGAAUUAAAACCAGACUCAUUAUAUAACUCAUAUAAGAAGUCUGAAUCAGGCAUGCCUCUUGGUUGUGGCAGUUGAUAACUAAAUAGAAGCGGUUCCAGUUUUAUUCAAGUAGUUACAUGAGGCUUGACUAGGCGUAGCAUUGAUAUCCCAUGAGCAUGAUAUCUAUAGUAAUGUAAUAAAGCAGUGGAGCAGUGAUUAGUUUUAAGAAGAUAAAUUGAGAUCCUAUAGAUAUUCUUUCUAAUGGUAUUAAGUCAAGAUAGUGUCUGAAAAACUCAUUAAAGAAGCGACAGAUUAAUGAACUAGUCCAAUUCCGAAUAAUAACGUGAACUAAACCGCUUCUCCAACAGGACUUGUUUUAAAUUCUAUAAGCAUGAUUUCAAUUAUAGCCAUUUAGAUCACAUAUGCAUGGUAUCUAACUAUUAAAAGCUUACGUCGGACUUGUUGACAUAAUUUCUAAGGGAAACGAGUUUGGAUACAUGUUGUAACGAAAAUUGGGCUUCAAUUACUUCAUAUCCUAUAGGCAUGAUAUCUAAUUGUAAAGUUGAUUUUUAAUCCUAUAGGCAUGUUAUCUAUUAUUAAAGUCAUUUGUAUCCUGUGGACAUGAUUUCUAAUUGUGUAAAAGUGAAGCAUGUCGAAUUUAUUUUUAAAAAUUAUAGAUCUUAUAGGCAUGUUAUCUAACAGACCAUAAUGAAGCAAAAUAAACCCUAUAGGCAUGUUAUCUACCAUUUAAUAGCUAAAACGUGCAUAUUCCCCAGCCAUUUUCACUAGUCACCACAUAACGUUCACAAGUUAUUGCAAACCGUGUGACUGAAUACAAAAGAAAGAAUGAAAGAAAACAAGAAGCCACAACCAUAGGAAGCCUGAUCUUGAAUUCCUAUCUAAGAUAUGCAAGGAACCAUAUCAAUGCCAAUGUUAUUCCAAAGCCUUUCUCAUAUCUGGGCGUGUCAAAGUUUCCUAAGGGCCUCAAGGGAUCCCGGUCAGUGCUUACACCUAGAUUUGUAUAUCCAAACAGAAUGAGUGUAGUAUGGAAGGGCCAGGCCUUAUGUGUCCAAGUUCAGAGGGAGCUCAAGAGUCCCAAGGCAAAGCUCACACAAGAGGGGCAAAACCUAGAUUCUAAGAGUAUAAUGGAAGUGCAAGACCCAUGUUUGAAAGAGAUUUAUUAAAACCGGGUUGGAAAUAGUAAGUGGUAAGGGUGAUUUGAAAAUAGUUGUAGUAGUGAAACUCAAACUGCACAGAGUCACUAAUCAUUUAAAGGAGCAAGGGACUAUGGGGAUGCAUUACAUAACCCUAGCAGGGAUCUGGUUUGUUAAUGUACAAUAAUAGUUGAUGCUGGCAUGGCCACAAACCAGCCAAAGGAACACAAAUACAUAGAAGGGAUAUAUGGGUUUGGGAUUCAUAAGAUAGCAAGUACACAACAAGUAACCUACAUAAUACACACAUAGGGAAACAUUAAUUUAAAAGGGGAAGGGAGAAUAUUACAGCCUGCUAGUAACAUAUGACUGCAGAAACAUAAGCAAAGGUAGAAAAGAAUAAGAAACUGAAGAAACGAAAGAGAGCAUGUUGUCAUUGAGGCUUAAAAAAUUAACUAGGACAUACCAGUAGGGAAGCAAAGUGUAGUAAGGGAAAGUAAGCAAGAUUCUGCAGUCUAGCAUUGGCUUUCAACCGGCUAGACAAAGAAAUAAAUAUAAAAAAAAAGAGAGUUUUUGAGUGUAAGUGUGUGUUCUGAACUUAAAUGGUUUGUGUCUUUAAAAGAAGAGAAAGUAGGGUAUUUAUAGUUUUGAAAACAAGAAGAAAUUAAGGUAAUAAGUAAAGUCUUAACACAAAUAUGGAAAAAUCACAAUCAGAAUCAAUUAACACAAGUACUUCCCUUUAAUGAAGGAAGUAUUGCUCAAACGGAUACUGACAAGGUUAAUUAAGGAAAGAAAUCAGUUUGAGACAGAUUGAUUUUUUCCAUAUAAGGGAGUAGUAAAAUAUAGGGUAUAUAAUUGAGUCUAGAUACAUAAUAUAUGCUUAAUUUUAGGAAAGGAUUCAAGGUAAAACAUCACAGUAAUGAAAUGAAGUGAAUCAAUCAAUUUAAACAGACAACUAAAAUUAGGGUUCAUAAGAAAACCUUUUUGCAAUCAAUCCCAACAUUGAGGGAGUCAGAAUCAAUCAAGAAAGGAUCAUGAUUCUGCACCUCAACAUAUAAAUAGAAUGAACAAUAGUAUCAGAUAUGCAAGGCCAAGCACAUUGGCAAAAGAAACAACAUAAGCAUACAGUAGUAGUAGGAAUAAGCUAGGAUUUAGUAGUAAAAAAGAUCUACCCAAAGCACAGUAGUUAACGAGGUCAGGUAGUUACAUGGAAUCAAAAGUGAAGAAAUCAUAGUAAUAGGUAAAGAGAGUCAGAAACAAGUAAAAGUCUCACAGUAACAAGUGAGGAAAACCUUUUAAGAAAUUAGGGCUUCAAUAAUAGUCGAGCUUAGGAGAUGAUAAAAACUGAGAAUCAGAUAAGUAAAACAAGGAAAAGAGAUCAAAACAAAGAACUUAAUCUUACGCAUAUACAUUCAAAUAGACAAGGACAGUUGCAGAACUCGGAUAUGACCAAAAAGACCUAGGGUUUUCAACAUGUUGAAUGAAGUAGAAUGAAAUCAUAAACAAGUUGUUGAACAUAGUAAAGUGAUAAAGCCCCACCAAGAAUCAGAGAAGAGUUCAUUAAAAGAAGUUAAGAGAAACCCUAAUCGUUAAAAGAAUGGAUAGUCAUUUUGAAAGAAAAUCGAAGAACUUUCGAGAAAACACUUAAAAAAUUCGUAAUAAGCAUAGAUCUGAAAGAAAAAUCAAACAGAUCUUACAUUUAGGGUUUCAAAGAACCCAGAGAAAUAGAAAAGGCUUUAUAAAUACCGAUAUGGUCGAAAAAGUCAUAGAUCUGACUUGAACAGCCAUGGAUAGCCGGAGAAAGAUCGGAGAUCGAAGUCGAGCAAGGAGUGGACCAGAUCUCAUCGAGAUUUGCCCAUGGAAUCUUGAAAACAUGUAUCCAAUAGACAUAGGAUACGUACACAUCUCAAAACGCCAUGGGAUACCAUGGAUUAGGUGGAGAUUAGGGUAAAUUAUGGUGGAAUUGCGUGGCGGCGGCUAGGGUUUAGAUGGUGUUGCAGAGAGAGUUUGAGAGGAAGAGAUUCAAUGGUGGAGGGUGGUGAGAAAUUAUUUAGGGUAAGAGGUCAUUUUGAGUUAAAAAUGGUAAGGGUAAACGGCGGUCGUUGAUCGGAAUGAUCAACAGCGUAGAUUAAAAGGAGUAGGUGGCGAUCCGAGUUUGGGUCGAUUUAAUUGAGUUAGGACCGGGUUUAACUAAAAUUUAGUUAGAGUUUAAUUGUGUCAGAUUUGGGGUUCAAUUUAGGCUAGACUUUUAACACAAAUGGGUUGUUAUUUAAAUAUCUAAUUUUCCUUUUUUAAAUUAUAAAAAAGAGUAAAUAAAUUUUUGAGAAUAAAUUGAAAGUCGUAAAACGAUUCACAUCACGUAAAUGUAAAUUUUAAAAAAUAGGGCUUAAUUAUAUGAAUAUAAAACACAAUUUAAUCAUAAAAAGGCUAUAUAGGCAAUUAGCUUUAAAAAAUACUAAGUAAAAUUGUAAAAAAUAUGUAAAAAUUACAUUAGAUAUAUUUUGGUAUCAAUAUAAAGAUCCAAUAAAUGAAUCAUCAAAAAUAAGAAUUUUGUACAUAAUUAUUAGAAAUUUAUGGAUGAAAAGGGGAAAUAAAUCGAUUUAAAAACCUUAAAAAAAUUAUGAAAAAUAAUAGAACAUUUGGAAAUACUUAUAUAUGCUAUUUUGAAGUAUUUUGCAUAUUAAAAAUAUAUAGGAAAAAAUUAAAUGUAAUAACAACCAUCUUCACAACAAUCGAUUCUCAUAGACGAGAGUCCUAACUUAGAAAUCAAUGUUUUAGCCUUGUAGAAAUCUUCAGGUGGGUCAACUAGUUCACUCAUAAGGCCAAUGAAAGAAUUCAUUCCCGCUUGAAAAAUAUUAAUGUCUGAUUUGAUACUUAAUAAUAUAACUGCAACAAACAACUGAGAGUGCAUACUCUCUUGUUCUAGCAGACGGCUAGCAGCCUCUAACUGUUAAUAAAAAUAUUUUGCCUCUUUGUUAGGAGGUUGUUCAACACUUUCAUGGGUUUCAAAAAUCGGAGUGCAUCCCCAAAACAUCAUCAACCAUUUCAUGGCCUCUAGGAUGUUGCGCUAUUAUCCACCGACCUACUACUUUCAUCAACAACUGCAUUAUGAAAUAUAUCAUCAGUAUCAUUAACCUCUACAUGACUAGUCCCCACAAAAUAACUAUCCAUAAACCCCUUUCAUAAAGAUAAGUCGUAACAUCCUCUGGACCAAAACAAAUGCGAACACUUGCGCUUCAUACAAGGACACAUAAUCAUCCCUCUAAUCUGAAACGAUUCAAGUGAAAUUGCAUACCUAAUAAAUUCCUUAACCCCUUCUAUAAGUUGCUCCCUCAAAAACAGAAAAUUAGGAUAAUUCUUAUUAUACAUCCAACUGCAAUAUUCCAUCAACGUAAAGAACAAAUAAAUUAUAUUAAUCAUAAUUCAAAAUUUAUAGAAUUAAGUUACACUAAUAUAACAAUAUUAUCCUGUAAAUUAAUAAACCCUAAUUUCUAAAAGCAAUAAAUGCUAAUAUAAUAAUACAUUAACCCUAAAAUAAUUUAUAAAUUUAUACACCACAAAUUAACUAGUUUAAAUACUGACUAAAAUAUUGAGCUAGUUAAGCCAUUCAUUUAGACUAACUCAUUCAGUUAUAAAUUGUUAGAUCUUCCAAUUAAUAUGGAAUAACUAGUUAAGCCUAAUUUUCUAAAGCCGAUAAAAACUAAUCGAACAAUAAAUUAAAUUCUAAAUUAAUAAAUUAUUUCUAAUAAAUUUUUGUAAAAUCAAUCAACAAAUAUAGAAAAAUAAAUUAAGCUCUAAAUUAGUAAACCUUAAAUUUCUAGAAGCAAUAAACAAAAAUAGAACAAUAAAUUAAACCUAAAGAAUUAGAGUAACUUAAAAAAAUUAGGCCACUAACCUUCACGUGGUACAAGUAGCGGCAGUUGAGCAGUGGUGAGAAGGGAGGGAGAUGGUGGAAAAUGCAGUAGCGGCGGAGGUAAGGCAGUGGAGGAGGCGGGCGGUUGUAUGUGGGGAAGCUGUGGGAUUAGGGAUUUAGGAGAAGAAAGUAAUGAGGAUGAUUUUGGAAUUUGAUUUUGGGGGACAAUGACAGUAAGAAUAGAUUUUGGGUGAAAUCGUUCUAAGCUUGAAGAGGGUGGAGGAGAGAGUGAAAUUUGAGAAAUGGAGGAGAAGAAGCUCAUUGAUGGGUCUAAUUGCUAGAU